rnacentral:ncRNA from 2 species
CUCUUAUCAAGAGAGGUGGAGGGAAGUGCCCUAUGAAACCCGGCAACCGUCAGUAAGCAUUGCUUGCUGAAAUGGUGCCAAUUCACACAAAGCGAAUCGCUUUGGCAGAUGAGAG